UAGGGAAUCUUCGGCAAUGGACGAAAGUCUGACCGAGCAACGCCGCGUGAGUGAAGAAGGUUUUCGGAUCUUAAAACUCUGUUGUUAGAGAAGAACAAGGACGUUAGUAACUGAACGUCCCCUGACGGUAUCUAACCAGAAAGCCACGGCUAACUACGUGCCAGCAGCCGCGGUAAUACGUAGGUGGCAAGCGUUGUCCGGAUUUAUUGGGCGUAAAGCGAGCGCAGGCGGUUUCUUAAGUCUGAUGUGAAAGCCCCCGGCUCAACCGGGGAGGGUCAUUGGAAACUGGGAGACUUGAGUGCAGAAGAGGAGAGUGGAAUUCCAUGUGUAGCGGUGAAAUGCGUAGAUAUAAGGAGGAACACAAGUGGCGAAGGCGGCUCUCUGGUCUGUAACUGACGCUGAGGCUCGAAGGCGUGGGGAGCAAACAGG
rnacentral:rRNA from 1 species